GUCGUGAGAUGUUGGGUUAAGUCCCGCAACGAGCGCAACCCCUAUCUUAUGUUGCCAGCGCGUUAUGGCGGGGACUCGUAAGAGACUGCCGGGGUCAACUCGGAGGAAGGUGGGGAUGACGUCAAGUCAUCAUGCCCCUUAUGUCCAGGGCUUCACACAUGCUACAAUGGCCGGUACAAAGGGCUGCGAAUCCGUGAGGUGGAGCGAAUCCCUUGAAAGCCGGUCUCAGUUCGGAUCGGGGUCUGCAACUCGACCCCGUGAAGUCGGAGUCGCUAGUAAUCGCAGAUCAGCAACGCUGCGGUGAAUACGUUCCCGGGCCUUGUACACACCGCCCGUCACGUCAUGAAAGUCGGUAACACCCGAAGCCGGUGGCCUAACCCGUAAGGGGGGGAGCCGUCGAAGGUGGGAUCGGCGAUUGGGACGAAGUCGUAACAAGGUAGCCGUACCGGAAGGUGCGGCUGGAUCACCUCCUUUCUAAGGAGCACCACGAGACUCGGACCUGCCCGCAUCGUGUGGGAGUUCGGUGAGCCGAGCGAUUCGUGAGAUGGACCCGUCACCUGUAGUGGGUGGGGUUCUGGUGCACAUGCAACGAGCGCUGACUGGUUUCGAGACGUCCCUUCGGGGAUGCGCCGGUCGAAAGAGAUCAUCAGACACACUGUUGGGUCCUGAGACAACAGGCCCGUUGUUCCCGGUCUGCGGAUCGGGAGGUGUGUUGUUGCCCUGCUUGGUGGUGGGGUGUGGUGUUUGAUUCGUGGAUAGUGGUUGCGAGCAUCAAGCCGGCAUUCGUGUCCGGCGUGUGAGUCGACUCUCCUUGUGGGGGUUGGCUUUUCGCGUUGGUGGGUGUUGGUUUGUUGUGGUGUAAUUUUCUCUGAAUUGUUUUUUGGUUUUUGUGUUUUUGUUGUAAGUGUUUAAGGGCGCAUGGUGGAUGCCUUGGCAUCAGAGGCCGAUGAAGGACGUGGGAGGCUGCGAUAUGCCUCGGGGAGCUGCCAACCGAGCGUGGAUCCGAGGAUGU
rnacentral:sRNA from 1 species